rnacentral:tRNA from 6 species
GUCCCUAUAGCUCAAUGGAUAGAGCGACAGCCUUCUAAGCUGUAUAUGUAGGUUCGAUUCCUGCUAGGGACGCAA